GUUCUCGCUUCAGCAGUGCAUAUAUUAAAAUUGGAACAAUCAGAAAUAAAUUAGCAUGGCCCCUUUGCAAGGAUGACAUGCAAAAUCAUGAAGUGUUCCUUAUUUUU
ensembl:snRNA U6 U6 spliceosomal RNA